AUUGAACGCUGGCGGCAGGCCUAACACAUGCAAGUCGCACCAGUGGCGGACGGGUGAGUAAUGUCUGGGAAACUGCCCGAAGGAGGGGGAUAAAUACUGGAAACGGUAGAUAAUACCGCAUACCAUCGGAUGUGCCCAGAUGGGAUUAGCUAGUAGGUGGGGUAACGGCUCACCUAGGCGACGAUCCCUAGCUGGUCUGAGAGGAUGACCAGCCAAACUGGAAAUGAGACACGGUCCAGAAUCCGACGGGAGGCAGCAGUGGGGAAUAUUGCACAAUGGGCGCAAGCCUGAGGCAGCCAUGCCGCGUGUAUGAAGAAGGCCUGCGGGUUGUAAAGUACUUUCAGCGAGGAGGCGUUACUCGCAGAAGAAGCACCGGCUAACUCCGUGCCAGCCGCCGCGGUAAUAC
rnacentral:rRNA from 1 species